rnacentral:rRNA from 1 species
UACGGAGGGUGCAAACGUUGCUCGGAAUUAUUGGGCGUAAGGCGCACGUAGGUGGUUUGUUAUGUCGGAUGUGAAAGCCCUCGGCUUAACCGAGGAAGUGCAUCCGAAACUGGCAAGCUUGAGUACAGAAGAGGGUCUCGGAAUUCCCGGUGUAGAGGUGAAAUUCGUAGAUAUCGGGAGGAACACCAGUGGCGAAGGCGGAGACCUGGGCUGAUACUGACGCUGAGGUGCGAAAGCGUGGGGAGCAAACAGG